rnacentral:lncRNA from 1 species
AGAUAAACAGGGGUUUACAUACACAUAGUUAAAGUAGUCCUUUCUUUCUUGUUAUAACAAUAAGGGCCACUGUUUUUGUGUUUGGUCUUGAGUGACAAAAUAUUUAUACUAAAAUACUUAAGAAUAAAUACUGGAAAGAUGGGAUAAGUUUUUGUUUUUAAACAUCUGUUUUAAAGUGAUAUGAGGGAGUGAAAUUAAAUUUAAUAAUCUCUCUUCCUUCCUCUGCUUUUGAAUUCAUAAGACAGUGUGGUAGGACAUAUGUUUCAGAUCUACUGUGGUAUUUUCAGAUGUAGACAAUUCAUUAUCCUUGGUUCUCCUUUUCUAUGUAAACCAUGAUUUUUCUAAGUACAAAAUUGUCUACUAAAUUGUCCCCAGGUUACACAACACAAAAAGUAUUUGUAUACAGUAAAGCAUUACCUCCACCUGCUAUAGACAGUGUUUAUCCUGCACUUUUUUUUUUUUUUACUAAUUUUUUCCUACUGGACUGUAGCCAGGAAGCUCAAUAGUUAGUUGGAAAGCAAAGGAUUUUUCAUGUCAAAUUGUCCAGUUUAUUUUACAUAAGUUUAACUAACUAUUGGUCCUUUUUUUUGAGAGAGUAGAAGGGAAUUCCUUCCGUGCUUUUAGUAGAUGCUUCUCCACUAGAAAACUCAUUUUUGCUGUCCUUGUCAUAACUGUAUGGCAAACAGGUAUACAGAUUGCAAGGUAUACAGGUAUAGGACCAGAGAGAUUAUUGUGUUUACAAAGGAGUAGUGAAAUGAAGAGCUUACCCGUGUCCUGGGCUCAUGGAAGGGUUCCAAGAGGAAGGAUCUUUGGGAGUCAGCCCUUAAAUGGGGUCUAGGAGGAGUGGAGCCUGGCAUCAAUCCUUCCGGUCACUCAGGUGAAAUUGCAUUCACCUGUGCCCCUGCAGCUGACUCAGCACUCACCUCAGGUGGUCAAUCAGAGGUUCAGGCUGUGAUUCAACAGUUCCCAUACACAUAACCCAACUCAGAUAUGUGAGUACUUUAAAUCUGACCACAGGAUGUGUGCAGAUUUAAGUACUCAGCUAUAGGACUUCUGCGCAAAGGUUAAUCAUUCACUCAAAAAUGUUCAUCCAUUGUACCAACUACCUGCUUGUUCUGAUGUAUAUAAUAUUUUCUGAACAACUUUGAUUAUACCUGUGCCCACCUGUAUGCCUCAGAGCAUCACCCCUUCCUGGACCGGUAGACCAGAUUAAUCAGAAAGAGAACUUUACCACACAGAACCUAAAUCUUUUGGCUGACUGUCCAUGUGAAUCAGUCAGUCGAGUACAAAGCAGAAACAUAACAUUUUUUUUUCUCCCAUGUCCAACAAAGCUGUGCUUAAUUAGGCAUUUAAGAGAGACUUAACUUCCACAGUUCUCACCACACGUUAUUUUCAAGCAACUCAGUGAUCUGAAACAGCAAUUAGUUUCAAUUCACACCUAUUAUCUGCCUUUAGUUCACUGUUAAUUCAAAGUCUAAAUUCCCCUCCUUGACAAAAUAUGAUAAUUUUCUCUUUUUGUAAGUGUUUCCUCUGAAGUUCUGAAAACUAUCAAAGCCAAAUGCCAUUACUUAAAACCUCAUACAGAAGACUGAAAUCAUUUCUCAACUUUUCUGCUCUCAUGUUUUUAUCCUCUUGCUUUCCCUCAGUGUAUUGUUUCAACACUCCUUUCUUCAACAUACUUCUCCCUAAAUCACUGUCAUAUCUUCAUGGGAUUUCAUAGUGCUACCAAUAAAGAGGAUUUGGAUCAAUGUAGUAGCAUAGAACACUACAAAUAAGCAAGAAAUAAAAGAUCAGGCAGAAAGGCUGAAACAUAAGGUCUUCCCCUUUCUUACACAUCACAAGCUGUUCUGCAGUUCCACCAGGAGAGUACUUAAUAUGAAAAAAGAGAAGACUUCAAAACCUAAAUUACUUAAAAAUGCCUGCAAACAAAUGAACAAACAAAAAUUUAAAAAAUAGCCCCCAUUCUAUUAUUUAUCAGUUGGUUAUAAAUAAAUCAGUGAUACCCACAGCUCUGUGGGUAUAGCUUAUUCUUGUCACUUAUUUGUUCCAGAUGUUACUGCUACUUAAUAACAGAUAUUAACGGGUAAAAAUAACUUAAUCUUCAAAGGUCUUUUGUCUAAGUGCCUCUUCUGCAACUUGAACAAGAUCACACUCAGAAAAGGACUCAGAAAAGAAAACAGUCAAGUGAGUACCAGCAUAAACACUUGAAAUAUGCAUUUGUUACUACUAUAUCCCAUUAUUUUUCCUUUUGAAAACCAAUGCUCAUAAAUUCUGACAACUGAUUACCUUAAUUGCUGUUAUUAGCUUUUUAGAAGUUUAUUCUAUGUAAUUUUAAAAUUGAUCUUCUCCUUAGUUUUUGAAUGCUAAUUUUGAAUUUUGUGAAAAAAAUAAGAAGAGGAAUGACAUUUCAAAUAUCUUGCUGAUGAGCUGACAAUACAGAAUUACCCAUCACUACUAAAUGACUUUUCCUCCAUAUACAGUAAAAAGUUACUUACCAGUGCACCUGUUGAUGUGCUUUCAUACAUACUGCAGAAUUAGUAUGUUAGAUAUACUGCUUUGAGGUCCUGCAAACCAAAAAAUCUGCUAAACUUUCAUCUCUUCAAUUACAUUGCCAGUGUUACACAAAAUAGUUUGAAAUUCUUUCUCAGAAGAGCCCAUCAUGAAAUCUCCACACAUUUCAAGAUUGACAACAUUUAUAUGAGUCUUUUUAGUAUGUCCACAGACUGUAUAUAUGUUUAUUGUGGAUUGUAUUUUAAAAAACAAGGUUUUCAGUGAAAAAGUGGGGAGACAGACAGUUCUACGCUUGAUGAGAUUUUAGAAAAAUCUGAGCUGAAUCUGUUGGUUCAGAUGGAAAUCUGGACCUAUUCCUAAUAUGAACCAUGGGCACAUCUUCAGAUUUUCUGAUUUUGGCACAAAUGUUUACAGUUUAUACGUAUGCUAUACAACACUGCCAAACAACCUUCAAGCUCCAGCUUAUAAAUCUUGUGCAUACCUUCAGACAAAUGCAAAUGUACAUAUGAAAAUUACUCUAAUGAAAAUUUGAAUUCUCUCUCACUUCAGUUGCUAAGAAGACAAGCAUAUGCACACAGGUCAGUUUGCAGUUAACUAUGUUAAAGACCUAAAUAAACUCAACAUCAGAUGAAACUUAAAAGCCAAAUUAGAAUUUACCCAAAUAUACUAUCCAUUUGAGACAAAUUUGUUUUAUAGAGCUACCAUCUCACACUCUUUCCAAAAUGGAAAUGCAGAGCAACAGCAAAAUAACUGCAAAGAAUUUGACUCAAAAAAACUUUUGGGACAUUUUGUCCAAAAAAACCCAGUCCUUCUUGAUGUGUAAAGUUAUAUAGAAUCUGCACAAUUAUUUGAGAUAUCAAAAUAGAGAAAGGAAAUUAAUGAACUUCAUAUUUGUAUAACGACAGAAAGUGGGGAUUAAAAAAACAGCAAAUCUUAGCUGGUGGUCAGAACUUUGUCUCCAAACCAACGAGGAAUACAACUGUACUUGCUUUGCAAGGGUUAAUUCUGGAAAUCUCAGCAGUACAUUUUCUAGAAAAUUUUGUUGCAUACUGCAGUCAAAUCUGGCCUACCACCAGAGAUUCAGCCUCUCAAAAUUGAGGAUGUUCAAGCUCUAAACACUUACAAAUGCUCUGCUUUUCAUCUACAUUUCCUAUCAAAUUUAGAAACAUCUUUCAUAUGUUUAGUUUUAACACAGAUUUCAGUACUCCUUGAACUUAUUUUAAACCAUUUCAUAGCUAUCCUUCCUGCCUGUUCAACACAUCAAGUGCUUCAGUGCCAGCUG